rnacentral:rRNA from 1 species
CAGCCGCCACGGUAAUACGAGGGGGGCAAGCGUUGUUCGGAUUUAUUGGGCGUAAAGGGUGCGUAGGCGGUUUGGCAAGUCUUGUGUGAAAUCUUCGGGCUCAACCCGAAGCCUGCAUCGAAAACUGCCGGGCUUGAGUAUGGGAGAGGUGAGUGGAAUUUCCGGUGUAGCGGUGAAAUGCGUAGAUAUCGGAAGGAACACCUGUGGCGAAAGCGGCUCACUGGACCAUAACUGACGCUGAGGCGCGAAAGCUAGGGGAGCAAACAGGAUUAGAGACCCCUGUAGUCCCUGUCUCUUAUAC